rnacentral:rRNA from 1 species
AUACCACUUGGAAACAGGUGACUAAUACCGGAUAAGAAAGCGGAUCGCAUGAUCAGCUUUUAAAAGGCGGCGUAAGCUGUCGCUAUGGGAUGGCCCCGCGGUGCAUUAGCUAGUUGGUAAGGUAAAGGCUUACCAAGGCGAUGAUGCAUAGCCGAGUUGAGAGACUGAUCGGCCACAUUGGGACUGAGACACGGCCCAAACUCCUACGGGAGGCAGCAGAG